ACAUGCCUACAACAUAGUUUUAAUGCAUAUGAUCCCAUUAGAACUCCGCAGUUAAGCACGCUCGAGCUAGAGUAGUACUGGGAUGGGUGACCGCCCGAGGAGUCCUAGUAUUUUACAUGCC
rfam:Picea glauca, whole genome shotgun sequence.